AGAUUAAAAUUUAUUUUUAUUAAUUUAUUUUUAUUAGAAGUAUCUUAAUUUUUUAGUAGUCUUAUUGAAAUAGUAUUUUUAAUUAUAGUUUAUAGUACUGUAAGGGUUAUUUAUAAUUUAUUUAAAAGAAUACUUAUAUGUAGUACCUUUUGUAUCAGGGUUUAUUAAUUUCUUUUUAAUUAUUUAGGUUUCUCGAAAAUAAAGGAUUUAAAUUAUAAUGUUUUUUUAUGUGAUAAAAUGAUUUACAAUUUUGAUUUAGUGGUUAUAUGCUAUACAACUUUAUAUAUCUAGUUUUUUAAUAAAUAAAUUUAAUUUAAAGUUCAUUUAGUUAAUAUUAAAUUUUAUUUUUUUUAAUUAUUGGACUUAAGAUUUUGGGGGAUUAGCUCUGAAUUUUUUUUAUAAUUUACUUAUUUUAUAAAUUUUGUAGGAAUAAAAACUUCCAUCUUUAAUUUCGUUAUAGUUUAGUUUUUAAAAUAAUUUAUUUAUUUUAUUAUUUAAUUUUUUAUUAUAACAAUAAUUUUAAUUUAAAAUUUUAUGUGAUAAUGAUAAGAUUAGUAGUUUUAAAAUUUGAAUAUAGGAACUUGGCAAAUGUAAUUUUCACCUGUUUAACAAAAACAUGUCCUUUAGAUAUUUAAUUAGAGGUCUAUCCUGCUCAAUGAUAUAAUUAAAUAGCUGCAGUAUAUUAACUGUACAAAGGUAGCAUAAUAAUUUGUCUUUUAAUUGAAGACUUGAAUGAAUGGUUGAAUGAAAAAUUUACUUUCUUUAUUUGAUAAAAGUGAAUUUUAUUUUUUAGUAAAAAAGCUUAAAUUUAACUGUAAGACGAGAAGACCCUAUAGAAUUUGAUUUUAUUAUAUUUAUAAAAUUUAUUUUGAAUUUUUAUAUUUUUAGUAAAAUUUUGUUGGGGUGAUGGCAAAGUUUAAAUAACCUUUGUUAAUAUAAAUUCAUUAAUUGAUGUUAUUUUGAUCCUUUAUUAUUGAUUAUAAGAUUAAAUUACCUUAGGGAUAACAGCGUAAUUUUUUUGGAGAGUUCAUAUCGAUGAAAGAGAUUGCGACCUCGAUGUUGGAUUAAAGUUAAUAUUGGGUGUAGAUGUUCAAUUAUUAAGGUCUGUUCGACCUUUAAUUCUUUACAUGAUCUGAGUUCAGACCGGCGUGAGCCAGGUUGGUUUCUAUCUACAGUAUUUUUUAAUAUUUUAGUACGAAAGGACCAAAUAUUAAUAAAAUUUAUUAUUCUUGAUUUAUAUU
rnacentral:rRNA from 1 species